rnacentral:rRNA from 1 species
GGUUAAGCGACUAAGCGUACACGGUGGAUGCCCUGGCAGUCAGAGGCGAUGAAGGACGUGCUAAUCUGCGAUAAGCGUCGGUAAGGUGAUAUGAACCGUUAUAACCGGCGAUUUCCGAAUGGGGAAACCCAGUGUGAUUCGUCACACUAUCAUUAACUGAAUCCAUAGGUUAAUGAGGCGAACCGGGGGAACUGAAACAUCUAAGUACCCCGAGGAAAAGAAAUCAACCGAGAUUCCCCCAGUAGCGGCGAGCGAACGGGGAGCAGCCCAGAGCCUGAAUCAGUGUGUGUGUUAGUGGAAGCGUCUGGAAAGGCGUGCGAUACAGGGUGACAGCCCCGUACACAAAAAUGCACAUACUGUGAGCUCGAUGAGUAGGGCGGGACACGUGGUAUCCUGUCUGAAUAUGGGGGGACCAUCCUCCAAGGCUAAAUACUCCUGACUGACCGAUAGUGAACCAGUACCGUGAGGGAAAGGCGAAAAGAACCCCGGCGAGGGGAGUGAAAAAGAACCUGAAACCGUGUACGUACAAGCAGUGGGAGCACGCUUAGGCGUGUGACUGCGUACCUUUUGUAUAAUGGGUCAGCGACUUAUAUUCUGUAGCAAGGUUAACCGAAUAGGGGAGCCGAAGGGAAACCGAGUCUUAACUGGGCGUUAAGUUGCAGGGUAUAGACCCGAAACCCGGUGAUCUAGCCAUGGGCAGGUUGAAGGUUGGGUAACACUAACUGGAGGACCGAACCGACUAAUGUUGAAAAAUUAGCGGAUGACUUGUGGCUGGGGGUGAAAGGCCAAUCAAACCGGGAGAUAGCUGGUUCUCCCCGAAAGCUAUUUAGGUAGCGCCUCGUGAAUUCAUCUCCGGGGGUAGAGCACUGUUUCGGCAAGGGGGUCAUCCCGACUUACCAACCCGAUGCAAACUGCGAAUACCGGAGAAUGUUAUCACGGGAGACACACGGCGGGUGCUAACGUCCGUCGUGAAGAGGGAAACAACCCAGACCGCCAGCUAAGGUCCCAAAGUCAUGGUUAAGUGGGAAACGAUGUGGGAAGGCCCAGACAGCCAGGAUGUUGGCUUAGAAGCAGCCAUCAUUUAAAGAAAGCGUAAUAGCUCACUGGUCGAGUCGGCCUGCGCGGAAGAUGUAACGGGGCUAAACCAUGCACCGAAGCUGCGGCAGCGACGCUUAUGCGUUGUUGGGUAGGGGAGCGUUCUGUAAGCCUGUGAAGGUGUGCUGUGAGGUAUGCUGGAGGUAUCAGAAGUGCGAAUGCUGACAUAAGUAACGAUAAAGCGGGUGAAAAGCCCGCUCGCCGGAAGACCAAGGGUUCCUGUCCAACGUUAAUCGGGGCAGGGUGAGUCGACCCCUAAGGCGAGGCCGAAAGGCGUAGUCGAUGGGAAACAGGUUAAUAUUCCUGUACUUGGUGUUACUGCGAAGGGGGGACGGAGAAGGCUAUGUUGGCCGGGCGACGGUUGUCCCGGUUUAAGCGUGUAGGCUGGUUUUCCAGGCAAAUCCGGAAAAUCA